ACAAUGGCGGGGACGUGGAACCAACAGACCAUUUCGCAGAGGAUAUUCUGGGAAUUAUAGAUUCCAGCCAUAUCCUGUACAGAGAGGAAAUUUCUCAAGACCUUUCAGGGCCAGAGCAGGCCGGGUAGGAGCUACUUCAGCUUACCCAAACGACAAGUAGAUUCCUCGGCUACCAAAACACAGGGACUUGCUCACCCUGCCACACAACGGACAGGAGCAUCCGUUAGCAAAGAAGAUCAUCAUGGGCGCAGCAGUCUUAUCCGGAAAUCACUUGAGAGUCAAGGACUUUUACCAGAAACUGCAAACACUAUCAUCCAGUCAUGGAGACCUGGAACUAGGAAGCAAUAUGACCUGGCGUGGAAACGAUGGUAUUUUUGGUGUUUACGAAGGAAAGUUAAUCCCCUUAUUACGACUGAAAUUAAAGUAGUUGAUUAUCUUUAUUAUUUAAAGUAUAAUAAUAAAUCUUACUCAGUUCUUAACACACACAAAUCAAUGCUUCUACAGACAUUACCUUUUUUCGGAAAUUCUUGGUGUCAGAAUUGUUUCUUAGUGAAGCGAUACCUUAAAGGUUGUUUUCAUAGUAAGCCACCUGUACCGCGUUAUAGAUUCACGUGGGAUGUAUCAGUUGUUUUAAAAUAUUUAAUGUCUCUUUAUCCUUUGAAUAAUCUGACAUUGAAAAUGUUGACAUUGAAAUUGGUAGCACUGAUUGCACUGGCUACAGCUCCAAGAGCACAGACUUUAGUUUCUAUGAAUGUUAAUAACUUGUAUAAGGAACAACAGGCAGUUGUGUUUACAUUUCCUAAACUAUUGAAAACGACUAAAAUGGGUGAUGCAUUUGUGCUUAAAAUAGAUCAUUAUGACAAAGAAGAAUUAUGUGUUAUGCAUACUGUUUUACAUUAUCUUAGAGUUACUAAAACGAUUAGGAAAUCGUCACAGUUUUUUAUAUCAUAUAAAACUUUUCAGCCAGUUUCCUCUAGCACCAUUGCUAGAUGGUUGAAAGAUGUGUUGACUAUGUCGGGUGUCAAUUCUGAAAUCUUUAAGGCACAUUCGUAUAGAAGUGCAUCCACCUCGGCUGCAUUUAGUAGAGGAUGUAGUUUAAAAAAUAUAUUGGACACUGCAGACUGGAAGUCGGAUAAAAACUUUCGAAAAUUUUAUCUUCGAAAGGCUUUAACAAAUGAAAAUGUCUCAUUCUCCCAAGCUGUUUUGAGUUCUCAUGUUGAUUAGACACAAUAUUUCUUAUGGACAUGGUCUUUUGUGUUGUUCAAAUAUCAAAUAUGUUUGAUACAUAAUGCUUUUGAAUUUGUUAUACAUUUUAUAACAGAUAUGGUGCAUUUAUAUAAGAGUGGAAGACAAUACUUAUUUGGAAUUGAUA